CACCCAGUUGACCUAACACGUUCAAUAGAAUCCCUCUGCCUGCCUUGUCUUUCAAGCUCUUAUUCUUCGGUCGCAGAAGUAGUACUACUUACACAAAUGUAUAAAGACAUUCAUGUUGCUUUCUUGCACAUCCAGAUCAAAGAGUUCCGGGCGUGCAACUUUCAGUAAUGUAAGUACUGACUACGUACCUUGCCUCUGCGUGAUG
rnacentral:lncRNA from 1 species